rnacentral:misc_RNA from 1 species
AAUGAAGCCGGGAAACCGGUCCUUCUAACCCUUGAUUAUCUCAAUUUGCUGCUUUGGUGGGCCGCGCAAGCACCGGCUUCGGCUGGAUCGUGCCCGCCAGAGGACCACAACUCUGUAUUAAAUGUCGUCUGAGUACUAUAAAAUAGUUAAAACUUCCAACAUCGGAUCUCUUGGUUCU